UACGGAGGGUGCGAGCGUUAUCCGGAUUCACUGGGGUUAAAGGGUGCGUAGGUGGGAAUGUAAGUCAGUGGUGAAAUCUCCGUGCUUAACACGGAAACUGCCAUUGAUACUAUGUUUCUUGAAUUUUCUGGAGGUUAGCGGAAUAUGUCAUGUAGCGGUGAAAUGCUUAGAUAUGACAUAGAACACCGAUUGCGAAGGCAGCUAACUACAGGGAUAUUGACACUGAGGCACGAAAGCGUGGGGAUCAAACAGG
rnacentral:rRNA from 1 species